GGAGCAUGUGGUUUAAUUCGAUGCAACGCGAAGAACCUUACCUACUCUUGACAUCCACAGAACUUAGCAGAGAUGCUUCGGUGCCUUCGGGAACUGUGAGACAGGUGCUGCAUGGCUGUCGUCAGCUCGUGUUGUGAAAUGUUGGGUUAAGUCCCGCAACGAGCGCAACCCUUAUCCUUUGUUGCCAGCACGUAAUGGUGGGAACUCAAGGGAGACUGCCGGUGACAAACCGGAGGAAGGUGGGGAUGACGUCAAGUCAUCAUGGCCCUUACGAGUAGGGCUACACACGUGCUACAAUGGCAGAUACAAAGUGAAGCGAACUCGCGAGAGCAAGCGGACCACAUAAAGUCUGUCGUAGUCCGGAUUGGAGUCUGCAACUCGACUCCANGAAGUNGGAANCGC
rnacentral:rRNA from 1 species